UCUCUCUGAAUCUGCGUACGGCUCAUUAAAUCAGUUAUAGUUUAAGUGGUGUUACCUUUUUUUUACUACUUGGAUGACCGUAGUAACAUAGAGCUAAUACAUGCAAAUACUCCUGACAGCAAUGAAAGGAGGCACUUAUUAGAUUACAAACCAAUCCAUGUAAAAGUGGCAUUAGGUGAUUCAUAGUAAGGUUGGAAAUCGUAUGGGAGUAAUCCUGACGAUGUACCACUCAAGUUUCUGCCCUAUCAACUUUGGAUGGUAGUAUAGAGGACUACCAUGGUGAUAACGGGUAACGGAGAAUUAGGGUUCGAUUCCUGGAGAGUGGGCCUGAGAGAUUGUUAG
rnacentral:rRNA from 1 species